AUUGAACGCUGGCGGAAUGCUUUACACAUGCAAGUCGAACGGCAGCACGGGUGCUCGCACCUGGUGGCGAGUGGCGAACGGGUGAGUAACAUAUCGGAACGUACCCAGUAAUGGAGGAUAACUAAGCGAAAGCUUAGCUAACACCGCAUACGCCCUGAGGGGGAAAGCGGGGGACCGACAGGCCGCGCGUUAUUGAAGCGGUCGAUAUGUGAUUAGAUAGUUGGUGGGGUAAAGGCCCACCAAGGCGACGAUCAGUAGCUGGUCUGAGAGGAUGAUCCGCCACACUGGAACUGAGACAAGGUGCAGACUCCUACGGGAGGCAGCAGUAGGGAAUUUUGGACAAUGGGGGCAACCCUGAUGCAGCCAUUCCGCGUGAAUGAAGAAGGCCUUCGGGUGGUAAAGCUCUUUCGGCAGGGAAGAAACGCUCUGGGUUAAUAACCUGGGGUAAUGACGGUACCUGAAGAAGAAGCACCGGCUAACUACGUGCCAGCCGCCGCAGUAAGAC
rnacentral:rRNA from 1 species